rnacentral:lncRNA from 1 species
UUUUUUGGCUCAAUUUGAGCAUAUUUUUUAUCAUACAUUAUUUUUGUGUCAUGUUCACAUGUAAUAAUAGUUUGGGUUAUUACAUUAGGUACCAAUUUAUCCACAGUUCAUCUCAGAAUGGUCCUCUAAGGUUGGGUUUUGGACACUUGCAUAAUUACUUAAGGAAUUCCAACUAUAAUGGGUUAUUAAAAGGAAUGCUGCAACACUCGAUAGAUAGCUUACCUACAAUUAAUUGUAGAUAAUUGGGGCCCAGGUUUUGGCAUGACAGUUGUUGCAACACCCUUAAAGUCGUACAUAAUUAAUUCUUGUGAUCAACAUCUACUACAGUUACUCGAAAGAACACUAUACCAUAAUUCAUGAAAAUUCAGGAUGAAACAAACAUUGGGAGAAUUUUAUUGCUACAGAGACUAGUUCUCGUUGCACUGGUGACUAACCGCAAAGCGGUUUAUGUAUUGCUGCAGUAUUGGGCAGUAACUUUUCAAUUUCUAUUUUUUUUUUAAAUUUGAAUUUUUUCCUUCCCUCUCUUGGUGUCCUUAUAUGGUUCUAAACUAGUUUCUAUGGCAUUUAUAGGACUAUAAUGGCUCAACAACAACCUUCAUACCACAGAUUUCCAAACACCAAAUAUCCUGACCAUUGUGAGGAUAGGUUGCAUAAUGGAUUUUCCUUUUCGACGAAGCAUGAUGAUGACUAAUGUGGAGGAAUAGUUGUUGGGAUUCCUCAACUAAUUGAAAGCUUUUGCGUGGGAGAUGUUAAUCGAUCCUGUCCCUUAACACAAUGUAGAGUUCGUUUAGGGGUUUUAUGCUAAUCUCUUAAUCAUGGAUUGAUUGAUACCUUUCCCUACUGUUCAUUUUAAAGGAAAGAAGGUCCCAAUAGAUGUGGAAAACAUAAAUUAUACCUUGGGUGUCCCAACACUUCAAAUGACUCAUUUGAGGCAACAAUUCAGGCAUUAGACCUAGAGUGGGUGGUCGGGGUCUUUCCAUUGGAAAAAUGAGUUGUCGAGGUAAAAUGGUCCAGUACUAGGGGGACUAAGAGCACCUAUCUCUCAGUUGAGGCUAGAGUGUGGUUAUAGUACUAGGGGGACUAAGAGCACCUAUCUCUCAGUUGAGGCUAGAGUGUGGUUAUGGUUGGUGUUCUAGGGAAUUUUCCAUUUGAAAUAUUGCAUACCUGACCUUCCGCUAGGAAAUGGUGGUGCUAUAUGCUUUUGUAGGGAUUCGAGUAAAUGUCGAAGUGUUGAUUAUGGAUGAGUGGCGGUACUUUAUGUAAAGGAACUUUUCCUGCCUCUUUGGUCACCAUACUCUCGAAUAGGGUAAACUUGCUUCAAGAAGUUUAGGACACUAUGGAUGACUGUGAGGUGAUAUAUAACCCAUUGUAAGAUAGGGGAAUUCGAGGGGGGAGUAAAAACAAGAAAAAGGUGGGGGAAGAGGGUGAGGGUAGUCUGGCUGGUAGGCCUGGAGAGUCGAGUGCCCCUUUUACUCAAGCUCCCAUGCCUCUUAGUGUUCGGGAGGCUGACCUUUAUGAAAUUUAAGGCUAUCAAGAGAGUUCUCACUGCCGCCUCCUGGAUUGGCUCCUUCAAGAUCUACUGCCCUCCCUUGAAUCUAUUCACACUUACGUGGAGCUGUGAGAAGAUAUGACUUAAGAAAGAAAGGAGUGGCGUUUCCAUGAUCGCAUGCUUGUAAGAAUAUGGAAGUUGGUACAAGUGAUGUUCGGGUGCACCUCUCCCCUCAAGAAGUUGUUGUAGCUGAAUAGAAAAGAUGCCAAAGAGUUCUUCCUCAGUGGCAUGGAGGAGGAGGGCUCGAAUGCUUUGAGCCUUGGAGAUAGUACCACCGACUACAUUUUUCCUCUCUUCCCCCAUUUUUAUGUUCAAGUACCUUUGAAUUUGGGUUGCCCCCUUUUUGGGGCUUGCAACAAACAAAUUCUCCCUUUUUAUUUAUUUCUCACACUUUAAAUCGCAUUUAGUUUAUACACUUUCUAUAAUAAUUGUUCUAGUUGAUACUGCAUGUUGAAUUGAUAUUUGUCGUUUUAUUACUUUGAAAAUAACAUUAUUUUUCAAAAGAUGCAAAAUCACAAAACCAAGGGAAAUACCUAGCAGGACAUAGCCUAGUGCCACUGUAACGAUUAAUCUUACCGCUAAAGUGGAGGCAAUGAUAGCCUCUAGUAGCUUUGCUUUUGUUCCCUUACCUAGUCUAAGGCCUCUUUUCUACAUAACACACUUUCUAUACAUGAUCUAGUAAUGUAAUAAUCUCUUGUUUAUGCAUAAUAUAGAUUGGUGUCACAAUUUCUAUUGCUUUCAGACUGCCCCCCACACAAUUUUCAUUUAUCAAACAAAUAGUGUUUCACAUUCGUCAAUCUUUUUACUUACUCAAUUAACUAUCCUCUAAAGUGUUCCACCAAUAGUCAAUCACCUGGGUAGUUCGUAAGGAAUCGGGUAAAAGUCAUUUAUACUUCAAAUCACAGAGAGAUGCUAGCUCAAGUCACAAGAAUGAAGACAUUCUUGAGAUCACACUCAGUCCUUAAGUCCAUCAGUUUGUUUGGCUACAAAUCAAACAACUACAUACAUACUAUCAACUAAUCAUAUCUGAAAGUUUAAGCAUCUCAAGAAAGUUUCAUAAAUUAAUGAUAACAAACAAACACAUAACACAUUGCAAUGCCUUGUUGCAUCACUACAAGUACCUAAUGCCAUUCUAACAAGUCAUAACAAUCCACUUUCUAUGUUUCUUAUUAGCCUCUAUUCAUUGAACGUUCGAUUCUAACAUUACUAUGUUUAGAGAUAUUAAUUGGAACCAACAAGUCCCAGUUGUACGUUCGAUUCUAACAUUACUAUUUUUAGAGAUAUUAAUUGGAACCAACAAGUCCCAGUUGUGAUUGUUGAGAUACUAAUGGGAAUAUUUCUAUACAAAUUAGACUCAAGGUGGGAAGACAACACUAGAAUAGCAUAAAAGGAGAGAUGAAAGUUAAGUUGAUCCUAGAUGCCUUGUAGCCUCCUACAUAAUUAUGUGGACAUCAAUAAACUAAUCGGUAGUGCUUUACUCAAUUUGUUCUUGUACUAGAAGACUGGUAACUUAGGCUUUAAUAUCAUCUUAUCAUGACCCUACCCGCCGAAUCAUGCGGGAACCUAUUGACACCUACCCUGAUAGAAGAAUCCUUAAUACCCCACCAUGUAAUUAAUGGGGAAGUGUAAUAAUUUUAAAAGUAAUCCUUAAACAUAGUUCUCUAAAAGUCAAAAGAAAAUCAACUAUAAUUAUUCAAUUUAUUCGUUAUACAAUUUCAACCAAUGUAUUUGGUUCAAAAAAGAAAUGUUGAAAAUAAGCAACAAUGAAUCCCCAGAAACUAGUCUAAACAAGUAC